rnacentral:rRNA from 1 species
UACGUAGGGGGCUAGCGUUGUCCGGAUUUAUUGGGCGUAAAGAGCGUGUAGGCGGCCAGGUAGGUCCGUUGUGAAAACUCGAGGCUCAACCUCGAGACGUCGGCGGAAACCCUCUGGCUAGAGUCCGGAAGAGGCGAGUGGAAUUCCUGGUGUAGCGGUGAAAUGCGCAGAUAUCAGGAGGAACACCAAUGGCGAAGGCAGCUCGCUGGGACGUGACUGACGCUGAGACGCGAAAGCGUGGGGAACAAACAGG